UGCGUGUUAGUUAAAUGGAAUAAUGUAACGCUACGGUCGUAAGGUUGCGAGUUCGAAUCUCGCACACGUAU
rnacentral:tRNA from 1 species